UCUGCCUUGAAACUUGACGUGGUGACACGGCAAAUUGUGGGUAUACGAUUGAAAAUAAUUGCUAUAGUGUGUUCGUGUAUGAGUAAGCUUCUCAAAAGGAGUUUCAAGUGUUUCCAUGGUAUGGCAAGCUUAUAUCUUGAUUCAUCAAGUUUUUUUUAUUCAUGUUGUUCAAUUAUGUUUAAAAAGCAAAUUGUAAAUCCCAAUGGUUUUGUUUUUUACCAGGGGAACACAGAGUUGAGCCACUGUUUUGAAACAAACUUUUAUUUAAAGGUAGUUACAAGUAACACCGACACCCUCGCUCAUGACAAAACAACUUUCACUCGCUGUGUCCAGACACUUGGUUCAAGGUGCAUGUAAUGCUUCAUCUCCAAGCUUCGCGUGGUUUCUUAAAGGCAUUGUGAAAUCUACACGGUGU